rnacentral:rRNA from 1 species
UACAGAGGGUGCGAGCGUUGUUCGGAUUGACUGGGCGUAAAGGGCGUGUAGGCGGUCGGCCAAGUCUGAUGUGAAAGCCCGAGGCUCAGCCUCGGAAGUGCGUCGGAAACUAGUCGGCUGGAGCGCGAUAGAGGAGGGUGGAAUUCCUGGUGUAGCGGUGAAAUGCGUAGAUAUCAGGAGGAACACCGAUGGCGAAGGCAGGUCUCUGGGCUGUAACUGACGCUGAGGAGCGAAAGCAUGGGGAGCGAACAGG